rnacentral:rRNA from 1 species
AAUAAUGGCACAGGUAUAGGCGAAAGCAUCCCCUUAUGUGAUAACUGACGUUGAGGGACGAAGGCUUUGUGUAGCGAACAGGAUUAGAUACCCCAGUAGUCAAAGCAGAAAAUGAUGAAUGUCAUAGAUUAGAUAUAUAAGUUUAUUCUAUAAAUGAAAGUGUAAGCAUUCCACCUCAAGAGUAAUUUGGCAACAUUGGAACUGAAAUCAUUAGACCGUUUCUGAAACCAGUAGUGAAGUAUGUUGUUUAAUUUGAUGANCCGCAAAAAACCUUACCACAAUUUGAANAUUUAUAUCUUUUAUUGUUUUUUUUUAUUUUUCUUCUUAUGACUUUUAUCCAUGAUUUUCUACUCAGUGAAGAAAAGGGAAGAAUNCAAGAAAUAAGAAGAAAAAUAAAAAAAAAAAUAAUAAGAUAUAUUUACAAGCGNUGCACGGCUGUCUUCAGUUAA